rnacentral:tRNA from 1 species
GCAGAUGUAGCCUAGUUGGUAAGACGCUAGCUUCGAAAGCUGGUGCGUGAAAGCGUUCGGGGGUUCGAGUCCCUCCAUCUGCG